CGCCUGGCCUACAAGUUGCGGUUGUGGUCUAAAAAAAAAUGUAUGGGAUAUAGAAUGAAGGAAACAAUGGAGUUAUGCCACUUUAACUCCACUCGGGCGUUUUCCUUCCAUGGCAUCCUUCUUAUUGCGGCAAUCAGCACAAAGGAAAGGCCCCUGCCAGGGCUUGGAGCUGGUGGAGAAGAUUGAACCGGCAUGAACAGAGAUGCCCUCACUCGGAGCAAGGUCAACUUGACAUACAGCACAUGUGAAAAGACCAGAUGUUGAGUGCGUGGUGGAAUCAUCAUUCCCCAGUCUUUCAGCAAGCAU
rnacentral:misc_RNA from 1 species